GACGAACCUGACAAACGUUAUUCGGAAUCACUGGGCUUAAAGGGUGCGUAGGCUGUGCAGAAAGUUGGGUGUGAAAUCCCUCGGCUUAACCGAGGAACUGCGCCCAAAACUACUGUGCUUGAGUGAGAUAGAGGUGAGCGGAACUUAGGGUGGAGCGGUGAAAUGCGUUGAUAUCCUAAGGAACACCGGUGGCGAAAGCGGCUCACUGGGUCUCAACUGACGCUGAUGCACGAAAGCUAGGGUAGCGAACGGG
rnacentral:rRNA from 1 species